CAUCUCCAGCGAGGAUACUUUAUUUUAGCAAGUGGGUGUUAAGCCAGACAUAACCACUAGGGGACAGUAAAAACAACCCUUAAGGUCAGUAUUCCUCCAAGACCCCACCUACUCUCACCUGAGGCCAAGAUGGGCAGUGCCUCACCUGGCUUUCACCUAGCGCUCUGUUAACCACUUCCUGCCUAAUCUGAAGUACCUCCCCGAGAUGGAGUCGUUCUUAGUAGAACUGGGGGCCAAUUUUGAUCGGAGGGAGGGUGUCCAGUCCGGGGGUGGGAGUGAAGUCAUGGUUUCCAGAAACUCAGACCCUUGUCCUUGUCCUAGCUGGAGAGGCUAUAGAGUUCUCUGGUUCAGAUGAGUAGGUCUCUUUUCUAAGCAGUGAAAGCCAAGUGGGGUGGUCACUGCGCUGGAACCCCUGGGACAAGCUUUAGUGGAGACUGUUCACGUAGCUUCAAAAUCCAGACUUCCGCCUCCCUGCAGCCAUUUAUCUGUCAAGGGCUUCAGCCAGAGGGAGGGAGGAAGGUAGCCCACCAGUGAAGGGAAGACGACAGGAUGGGAGCAGGAGGUAGGCAGUUAAGACAGGGUUCGAAAGCGGAUGGCUUUCGGCAGCUUUCAGGUACCCGCUUUGCGUGUCGUUUCUCCUGUUACUGGCAGCCUUUCAGGGAUCAGAUCAGCCGAAGUUCCGGGAUUGCGUUCCGGGCCUUAACGAGUUAAACUGUGGGAGUGGGGUCCGGAGUCCCUCCCUCCCUCCUUCGCGAAUCAAGUGUCACCACUUCCAAGUCCAUCAGACUGGCACGCUAGGAGUUAAGUCUGCCCGCAAUCCGCAAGACUGGAGCCGUAGAGGGGGGAGGAGGGGGGAGGGGGAAAGCAAGGAGCUGGGGGAAGCAGACUGCAGGGAGACAGCGCCUGGAACCCCCUCCCCAGGGACCUGGCCCUGGGCCCCCAGCCCCAAAAGGGGCCCUGCCCUCCCCGGGGUCGCGCUCUCUUCCCCCCCCCCGCCCUGCCCCCGCCCUUCAGCUUUGUGUCCCCAGGAGGGUGGGCUGCAAGAUUUCCAGCCAAGCCUUGGCUGCCUGCUCAGUUUUUCCAAACCCUCCAGUCGGAGAAGGCGGGAGCCUUGUCAGGAUAAGAGUCCCUCCCCCCUCUGCCCCUGCCGGCCCCCUGGUCCAGCUUGGAGUUUCCUGUCCUCGCAGCUUUCCAAACUCCUUUCCCUUUCCGACCCUGGCCCCAGCGCCCCCUAGCCCCACCUCUGUUGGUUCCCAAAUUCCAAGUUCAGGUUGGAGGGGCCAGGUGGACUCCACAAUCCUAGCGAGGCGCUGGUAAAGCCUCACUCUGCCGGCCGACCCAGAGACCUGCGGGGCGCCGGCCUGACUCCCGGCCUGGGCCCGCCCUGUCCCAGGACUCGGCUUCUGGCCACCAGGGAAGGUGGCUCUUGGGGUCUCCCGCUCCCGGAAGGAGGCGGUGCCGGGGACGUCGGCACAGCUGGGCGGUAAGGUGGGUUCGGCAGAUGCCAGGCCCUAAGGCAUACUUCAAGGAGGGGCAAUGUUCCCAGCGCUGGCACGCCUCUGUCCAGAGAGUCUAUUAUAUAAUAAUCACCAUCUAUCAGGAAGCCAGGCUGCUGGAGAGAGUGGGUAAGCCAGGAUGCCCGGAUCCGCGCCUCAUCCAGGGCCCAGAAAGGUGUCUCCAUCAAGCCCGGAUCCGCGCCUCAUCCAGGGCCCAGAAAGGUGUCUCCAUCAAGCUACGCACAGUGUGGGGCAAAGCCCAGUGGUCGGAUGAAGAUGAUGAUGGUGACAGGAGGGGGAUUCCAGGGACUAGU
rnacentral:lncRNA from 1 species